CGUGCGUGCGUGCGCGCGUGUGCGUGUGUGUGUGUGUGUGUGUGUGUGCGUGUGCUCGCACUUCCUCUGACAC
rnacentral:miRNA from 1 species